GCCCUCAGAGAACAGGAGCCUUCCAGAUAUCCGAGCUGCAGCAUAAAAAGCAUUAGAUGACAUAAUACUUCAUUACAGGAAAAAAAAAAAAGAGGCAUAUAAACAAAUGGAGGCUCUGACUGGUAACACUGGGAAAGCCUGGUGCUUCAACUCACAGAAAGCUGUCGACAAAAGCUCUCCGGGGAAGGGGGGCGAUUCACAGAGCUCCGUGCUGCUGUGCCGCAAAGGCGCUCUGUCAUACAAUAAUUGGUCCUGACCACACCUAGUGCAUUAGUCCUCGUGGGCUGCAAGUACAACCUCAUUACUCCUGGCUCCUGGAUGAGCAGAUCAGAAGGGGAUCAAACUACAGCACAAGCCAGAAGCCAGGAAUUCAAGGGACGGCGGCACAACAAAACCAGAGAGAAACAGGAACUUGUCGAAGCAGAUCCCCUCAUCUACCUGGAGUGGGGAGGAGCACGGCUGCAGCCAUCCCCAGACACCCUACCUGCAUCACGGUGCUGCAGGGAACGAUGCCGGACUCCUUUGCCAUCCACUUCCUCAAGGUGCUGCGGGAGCUGCUGGUGUUUGUGCUGUUCAGCUACACCGUGCUGGUGGGAGCGCUCCUGCUGGCUGGCUGGACGACGUAUUUCUUGGUGCUCAAAUGACAACUUGUUCCCUGCUCCUGCAGUCCUGGGCUGCCCAGAAGCACCUGGCUCCACCGCACAGCUCGUCCCACACAUCUGCUCAGCGCACAGGAUGGCAGCCCCUUCCUCCUGCACCAACUCUGCAAGCAUUUUGUUCCGUUACCACCUCAUCACAAUCUUAUUUUCUUAUGUAAAAAAGAAAGAUUAAAAGAAAUACCAUCUACAUGAA